rnacentral:rRNA from 1 species
GACGAACGCUGGCGGCGUGCUUAACACAUGCAAGUCGAACGGUAAGGCCCUUCGGGGUACACGAGUGGCGAACGGGUGAGUAACACGUGGGUGAUCUGCCCUGCACUUCGGGAUAAGCCUGGGAAACUGGGUCUAAUACCGGAUAGGAUCACUGCCUGCAUGGGUGGAGGUGGAAAGCUUUUGCGGUGUGGGAUGGGCCCGCGGCCUAUCAGCUUGUUGGUGGGGUGAUGGCCUACCAAGGCGACGACGGGUAGCCGGCCUGAGAGGGUGACCGGCCGCACUGGGACUGAGGUACGGCCCAGACUCCUACGGGAGGGAGCAGUGGGGAAUAUUGCACAAUGGGCGCAAGCCUGAUGCAGCGACGCCGCGUGAGGGAUGACGGCCUUCGGGUUGUAAACCUCUUUCAGCACCGACGAAGCGCAAGUGACGGUAGGUGCAGAAGAAGGACCGGCCAACUACGUGCCAGCCGCCGCUGUAA